GCAGUGGUGGUUCAGUUGUAGAAUUCUCACUUCCCAUGUGAGAGACAUGGGUUCGAUUUCCGGCCAAUGUA
rnacentral:tRNA from 1 species